UGUAGCAUAAUGGGUUCAACAGUCACGGCAGUAGAAACUUCUCGAGAGUGCAGUAGUGUAUCUUACUCGGUAAAUUGGUCGACUACUUCAGUUAGUGCAACAAAGAGAGGACAGAGAGAUACACUUAUGAUAACUAUAAAUAUUAAAGAUCAAGGAAUAUUAACAAUUAAACCUCAAGUGAAAUUUUAUAAAUCUACGGAUAAUCAACACUACACCUGGGGAAAAGCACUAACUCGAAUAGAUUAUGAAUGCCACUAUAAAGAUGGAUCAUCAUUUAUAGAAAUCGAUAAAGAAAUUUAUCGAUAAAUUUUGUUAAAUUCUUUGUCUAAUAAUUAUUUUAAUAUAAUUUAUUCAAAUUUAUGUGCAUAAUUUUAUAACAAUGUUCCUAUAAAUAAGUCAUAUCAAAUAGAAUUAAUCUCAUUUUAUAAGCUGAAGUAUCUGAUUGAAAGGGAAAAUUUUUUAACAAUAAUAUAAUAAUGUUUACACAAAUUUAUACCAAAAUAAUGACUUUUGAAUUUUUAAAGUUUAACUAAUUUUUCAAAAUAACUAACAUAUCCUUCAAUAUGCAGAAUUACUGUCUGCAUAUUACCUGCUAUUAACCUUUCAGCAGUGCAUUAAUCAGGUAUGGUACUAUCCCUAUGUAGUGGAGAAUAAAUGUGGGAAAUUUUUAGAGUAUUUUCCCAUGUGUUUUUUUCUCAUUACCGUUUCAGAAAAAGAUUUUGUAAACAGUUAUGUCUAGUAAAGAAAAGUCAUUUUUUUAUUGUUACAUAAUUCCUUUUUAUGUAGAUUCUUUUUUGCGGUAGUUUUUGGCGAUAUCCAUCGCUUACGAUUGCCCUUGAUGGAUAUAUCCAUUGGUCACUGCUGAGCGGUUAAUAGUGUAUUAUAUAACCUGUUUUUUCAAUGAUAUGUUAAAAAUCAAUGAAAGUAACUUGCUUUAUUGUUCAUAUAAUUUAACACUUGAAAAACAAGUUAUAAAUUCAUAACUAAUAUAUCACAUGCAGGGAUAUAGCCAGAAAACUUUGGGUGUGGUUCACCUCCAUAUCUUAUGGCUUGUGUAGAUGUAGCAUAGAUGGGUAGGCUACUGUAAAAAUGUCUCUUGAUCAUUAGCAACAUGUUAUGCAAAGAGCCAUUAUGUUGAUAUGGCAGCUUAUUGCAAGCCAUUUGUGAACCAGUGAUAAUUUACACAUGACAAUGCUCAAUAAAGUAGAAAAGGAUGAACAAGUAUUGAAUUAUAUUCUUUUUUAUAUUCAUGACAUCCUCAUGGCUGUUAAUGAUAUUUGAGUCUGUUCUGUUUUAUCCAGUGGUCAACUGCUUGACAUUUUUUUAUUACAUUUACUUCUAAACUUAAAUGAUGACUGGUGGCAAAUGUGGGUCAGAAGAGUUAGUUUGGGAAAUGCUGCCCCUUGUUACAUGUGACUACAUCCCUGUACAUGAGUAAUUCGGACUAAAAGUUUCUUACAUAACCUGCAGGGUUAUAUAUAUUUUAAAAUCAAUUUGAAAGCAGGUACUGGCUGUUUUAUAGCAAUUCUUGUGGGUUAUACACCAGAAAAAUUAGGUUUCUAAAAAAUAGUUCUGUUUCUAAAAAACAGAACCUAUCACUACUUCAGCUUACAUUGUAAGAUAAUUUGUGAUGAUCAGUGCCAUUCAUGAAAGCAUUUUGAAUAUGAGCCUUAAUUUUUGAGCAUUUAUUUUUUUAUCUAUUAUCAUAAUGUAAAAUAAUACACAAUACAUAAUUAAAAAAAUUUUUUUGCAUGUAAUAUUUUAUAAAAAUUUAAUCACAUAUUUCAAUUUCUGGAAAACAAGUUAUUGCUAAUUUUAUAUUCUACAAAAUUCUUAUAUUUAAAUGUCAAAUUUUCCAAAUAUUUGCAAUAAGAAACUUUAAGUGCAAAUGGUAUUAACUUGUUUUUAUUAAAAUGUAAGUGAAAUCAAUAGCCAGUUGCAAUAAAUUGUUUCAAAAGUCUUAUGUAAUAUUUCAUCAAAUUUCAGAAUAUUAAUAUUAGAGAAAAUAACAAAAUCUGAUAUUUUUUUACAGAAACUAACUGAAUUGUGUAUUUUUCUAAACAAGUUAAAAAAAAAAUCUACUUUACUCUAUAACAGAAAUUUUAAAAACUUUGGAAAUAAAUUGAUUACUGAUUAUACUUGAGGUUUAGAACCUUCAGAAAGUGCAUAUCUGCAUGAAAAAUUUCAUUUCAUCUUGUUAGAAAUUGUCAUAAUUAUGUCUCAAUUUUUUUUAAUAUAUAAAUAAACAAAAAUCUAUACUUCUCUGAAUUAUAAUUGAUUUAUUAGAGAGAUUAAGAAUUUCAUAACUUCUCAAAUUGUGAAUUAGUUUUGUGCAUUUUAAGCACUGUUUUUUCUUAUAGCCUGAAAGUGCAUUUGAGGUUUUUCAAUGUGAUCAAGGCUUAACAGUUUUAGAUUAUCUAUUAAUUUAGACUUCCAUUUGAGAUAUGAUUCUAAUUCAUAUUUUACAUUAAUUUAUGUAUCUACUCUGUAAGAAAUCCAAUCACUCGUUACUUAUGCAGAUUUAACAACAAACUGAUUCAUUUAUAAUAUAUGUCAAACAUAUCAGGUUAUCUGCUUAUGCCAACAAAUUUAUAAUUUGAUAAACAGCUAUAAUAAUGAUACCUGUUUUUAACCAGCUGAAAAUCCCAACUUUAACCCUUUGAGUACUCUUGUAAGUAUACAUGAUACACAUGGACUCUACAGAGUAAGACAAAUAUAUAUUCAAGGGGUUUGAGUCGUAAUCCUGAACGUUGAAAUCCCAAAAAAUCAAAUUCCCAAAAUGCCUAAAACCUCAAUUUCUAAUGAAAAAUUUGUGGUCUGUAGGUGAGUGCAUACAGAAUGGAUUUAAAACAACAUAGAAGCAUGAUGCAGAAGAUAGAAUAAUUUAAUAGGGAAUGCUAACUUUGGUGCAUAUUGAAUCAUUGAAUACUUUCAGAAAGUGCAAUGCCACGUAGAAAAUGAAUAUGAGCAUAUUCUCCAAAGAAAACCAUGCCCUAAAAGGAAAAAAGCAGAUAUUCAUUGCAAAAUACAACUUCAGAAUAUAGUUAAUGAUCAUGAAAGUCGGUCAGCUCUUUUGACCACCUCUGUGUACCCAUAAUAUUUCCAUGUAAUAUGCUUUUUUUGUACAUUGGUUUUCUCUUCUUCACUACUAAAAAUUUUCAGCAUUGAUUUUUGUAAUUUGUAAUUCUAUAUAUUUGACUUUAGCUACUAUGUUGUAAAGUAAUAAUACUCAAUAUGUGUGUAUUAUGCACAGUGCAUACAUAUUGACUAUUACUGUUAGCCCUUUUUCUACAAUAAAAUAUUUAUGAAGUGUUCACUCACUUGUUUAUGUAUAUUUCUCAAAUAAAUUCGUUUAAGAGACAUUAACAUUUUUAAAGAUUUAUUAUUUUUCCUAGGAUUGUAUUUUUGAGAUUUUAAUUUUUCAGGAUUGUGAUUUUUUUUUUUUUCUUUUGAAAUUUCAACAUUUGGGAUUAUAGUUAUCACUGACAUUCAAAUUGGUGUCAGUAUAGUAUGCUCCUAUAUUUAUGGCCAAACUUGAAACUUUACAGGCAGCUAGAGACAUCAUUGACAAGUCUAGAUUUUUUUAGGUUUGUUGUGAGGUUUAGCAUGAAGACAAACAUAGCUUCUGGUAAUUACACUUGUUAUCUACUUCUGAAUUAUUGGAGUUACUCAACACAGUCAAAUCAGAAAGAAAAUGUCUAGUUUUUAAAAAAAUAUGAAUUGGAAAAUGAGAUACUAAUUUUAUUUGUAAAUGUUAUAUUUUUUAAAAUUAACUCAUUCUGGGAGGGAAAUAGAUUUCAUGAUGUUAAAUAGUUUUUUAAAAUUUCACAUAAACCACUCAUAAAAGUAAAGUUCAAACACUACAAAAUUGUCAAACUUAAUUUUAAUGUAAUA